rnacentral:rRNA from 1 species
UACGAAGGGGGGCUAGCGUUGCUCGGAAUCACUGGGCGUAAAGCGCACGUAGGCGGCUUUUUUAAGUCAGGGGUGAAAUCCUGGAGCUCAACUCCAGAACUGCCUUUGAUACUGGGGAUCUCGAGUCCGGAAGAGGUGAGUGGAACUGCGAGUGUAGAGGUGAAAUUCGUAGAUAUUCGCAAGAACACCAGUGGCGAAGGCGGCUCACUGGUCCGGUACUGACGCUGAGACGCGAAAGCGUGGGGAGCGAACAGG